CUUUUAACUACAGCGCUUGGGACAAAAGCCAUUAUUACCAACAGGGCAAUCGAGAUGAUGAACACGAUGAAAAACAGGCCGCCAAAAGGCAAAAAAUUACCUAACCGUUAAUGAUAUCAAGCAACGAAGAAGUGAAGGGGAUGGAAACACAU